CUGCUUAAAUAUAGUGGCUUAAAAAUGUGUCUAUUAACAUUUCAGAUGUCAUGAAUAGCUGAACUAAGAGAUUGGAAAAUAGAGCACAAGACUUAUCAGAGGCCUGCAUCUUUUUGGACUUAGACGUUGUAUUGCUCUGCAGGGUAGCCCACUGUUUAAGAAGGUACAUCUCUGUUUGAAAAUAUGCUGAAGAUUUUCAACCAAAAUAAGAGAGUUUUGCAAGCAUGAACUAUUUUUUUAUGUUCCCUGAUUCUCGAUGUGCUGUACAGUCAGAUGUGAUUCUGAGGGGAAACCAUCCUUUCAUUCUUGCUCUCUCACAAUUGCGAAAUUAUUUGUGUGAAAACUCUUGCUGUAUGUCAUUAGUCCUACUUAACUCUUAACGGUACUAACUGUGUACUAACCGAUUGUGUUGCAGAGCUAAUGGUCUGUGUAAAAACUGUACUUGAAACAAAGGAAUACACUUUACAAAUUCUGUAAAGAGUGACAAGGCAGUUCUGAAAUCUAAAAAGACAUGUAAAGCACAAAGUAAAGAAGAAAGGAAUGAAAUCUAAGAAGCUAUCAAGAAAGGAAUACAGUCAACACUUCAGUUUACUCAAGCUAAGUAGAGCACAGAAGAUAAGCUGUAGUGACCAAGGACUGCUGAAAAAUGUGAACAAGACAGUGCCAUUUGCUGUACUUCACAGUACAUAAAAAAUAUGACAACCAUCUGUCACAUGCAACUAAACAUCCAGUUCAGCAUAUCCACUGCACUACCAAGUGCUCCAUACACAAGCUCAUACUUCCUUUACUUUUGGGAGCAUGCAGCAGCACAGCAAGUGCACUGGAGAAGAAGCUUCAGGUACAAUAUCUGCUGCUGAAGACAGAGAAACUGCCUUGAAAAAUCAUCACCCCACAAGACCUCACUGUGCGACAGCCCAGCUGUAAAAUUCCCAAAGUCAUCCCUCCUCCUCAGUAGGGUAAAGCUUAAUGGAAAACUUCAGUGCUGAAAGUCACCUUCUAGCCUUAAAGACACGUUUGGUUUGUGUGUGCUAUUUAUACAUUUUAGAAUCACAGAAUGGCUCAACUUGUGUCUUACAAGAGUUGAGCAGAGCACAGCGGUUGCCUUCACAGUAUUCAGCAGAAAUUUCCCCUAGAAUUCCUCCUGGUGCAGAAGUUCAUCCACAUCUCCAUUUUGCAGUGAUCAAUUACGUGAUAUCCCAUGGACCUCUCUUUCGUGCUGCUAAAUGAGGCAGAGCAACCUCACUGACACUUCUUGAGAAAUACCAUUCACAGCUGAUCCCAUCUCCAGGCUGUUUGCUGAAAUUGGAAAUGAAACUGUCUCUUCACACUGGGCUUCCUGUACUCCAUGACACUCACAGUUUUGCAUAGACUGGGAAAGUCUCAUCAUCAAGAAUACGCCACUGCUG